AACGAACGCUGGCGGCAGGCUUAACACAUGCAAGUCGAACGCGUGUAGCAAUACACGAGUGGCGCACGGGUGAGUAACGCGUGGAUAUCUGCCUUUUGGUUCGGAAUAACUCCGGGAAACUGGAGCUAAUACCGGAUGGUUCCUUCGGGAUAAAGAUUUAUCGCCAAAAGAUGAGUCCGCGUACGAUUAGCUAGUUGGUGAGGUAAUGGCUCACCAAGGCGACGAUCGUUAGCUGGUCUGAGAGGACGAUCAGCCACACUGGGACUGAGACACGGCCCAGACUCCCACGGGAGGCAGCAGUGGGGAAUAUUGGACAAUGGGGGCAACCCUGAUCCAGCCAUGCCGCGUGAGUGAUGAAGGCCUUCGGGUUGUAAAGCUCUUUUGGCGGGGACGAUGAUGACGGUACCCGCAGAAUAAGCCCCGGCUAACUUCGUGCCAGCAGCCGCAGUAA
rnacentral:rRNA from 1 species